CACGUAGGGUGCGAGCGUUGUCCGGAAUUAUUGGGCGUAAAGAGCUCGUAGGCGGUGUGUCACGUCGGCCGUGAAAACCUGCAGCUUAACUGUGGGCGUGCGGUCGAUACGGGCAUCACUGGAGUUCGGCAGGGGGAGACUGGAAUUCCUGGUGUAGCGGUGAAAUGCGCAGAUAUCAGGAGGAACACCGGUGGCGAAGGCGGGUCUCUGGGCCGAUACUGACGCUGAGGAGCGAAAGCGUGGGGGAGCAAACAGG
rnacentral:rRNA from 1 species